rnacentral:rRNA from 1 species
UACGUAGGGUGCAAGCGUUAAUCGGAAUUACUGGGCGUAAAGCGUGCGCAGGCGGUUUUGUAAGUCUGUCGUGAAAGCCCCGGGCUCAACCUGGGAAUUGCGAUGGAGACUGCAAGGCUUGAAUCUGGCAGAGGGGGGUAGAAUUCCACGUGUAGAGUGAAAUGCGUAGAGAUGUGGAGGAACACCGAUGGCGAAGGCAGCCCCCUGGGUCAAGAUUGACGCUCAUGCACGAAAGCGUGGGGAGCAAACAGG